rnacentral:rRNA from 1 species
UCUUAGUGGCGGACGGGUGAGUAACGCGUGGGUAACCUGCCUUACACUGGGGGAUAACACUUAGAAAUAGGUGCUAAUACCGCAUAAUGAGAGGAGACGCAUGUCUCUUGUCUGAAAACUCCGGUGGUGUAAGAUGGACCCGCGUCUGAUUAGCCAGUUGGCGGGGUAACGGCCCACCAAAGCGACGAUCAGUAGCCGGCCUGAGAGGGUGAACGGCCACAUUGGGACUGAGACACGGCCCAAACUCCUACGGAAGGCAGCAG